rnacentral:rRNA from 1 species
GACGAACGCUGGCGGCGUGCUUAACACAUGCAAGUCGAACGGCAGCACGGGUGCUUGCACCUGGUGGCGAGUGGCGAACGGGUGAGUAAUAUAUCGGAACGUACCUUAUUGUGGGGGAUAACGCAGCGAAAGCUGUGCUAAUACCGCAUAAUCCCUAAGGGGGAAAGCGGGGGAUCGUAAGGCCUCGCGCAAUUAGAGCGGCCGAUACCUGAUUAGCUAGUUGGUGAGGUGAAGGCUCACCAAGGCAACGAUCAGUAGCUGGUAUGAGAGGACGAUCAGCCAACCUGGGACUGAGACACGGCCCAGACUCCUACGGGAGGCAGCAGUGGGGAAUUUUGGACAAUGGGGGCAACCCUGAUCCAGCAAUGCCGCGUGAGUGAAGAAGGCCUUGGGGUUGUAAAGCUCUUUUGUCAGGGAAGAAACAGCAGCUCUAACACAGUUUGCGAAUGACGGUACCUGAAGAAUAAGCACCGGCUAACUACGUGCCAGCAGCCGCCGUAA